GACGAACGCUGGCGGCGUGCUUAACACAUGCAAGUCGAACGGAAAGGCCCUGCUUUUGUGGGGUGCUCGAGUGGCGAACGGGUGAGUAACACGUGAGUAACCUGCCCUUGACUUUGGGAUAACUUCAGGAAACUGGGGCUAAUACCGGAUAGGAGCUCCUGCUGCAUGGUGGGGGUUGGAAAGUUUCGGCGGUUGGGGAUGGACUCGCGGCUUAUCAGCUUGUUGGUGGGGUAGUGGCUUACCAAGGCUUUGACGGGUAGCCGGCCUGAGAGGGUGACCGGCCACAUUGGGACUGAGAUACGGCCCAGACUCCUACGGGAGGCAGCAGUGGGGAAUAUUGCACAAUGAGCGGAAGCCUGAUGCGGCAACGCCGCGUGCGGGAUGCCGGCCUUCGGGUUGUAAACCGCUUUCGCCUGUGACGAAGCGUGAGUGACGGUAAUGGGUAAAGAAGCACCGGCUAACUACGUG
rnacentral:rRNA from 1 species